GGAUGCCUACGGGACGCAGCAGUGGGGGAUAUUGCACAAUGGGGGGAACCCUGAUGCAGCGACGCCGCGUGGGUGAAGAAGUAUUUCGGUAUGUAAAGCCCUAUCGGCAGGGAAGAAUUUAGACGGUACCUGACUAAGAAGCCCCGGCUAACUACGUGCCAGCAGCCGCGGUAAUACGUAGGGGGCAAGCGUUAUCCGGAGUCACUGGGGGGAAAGGGAGGGGAGACGGGCAUGGAAGCCUGGAGUG
rnacentral:rRNA from 1 species